UACAGAGGAUGCAAGCGUUAUCCGGAAUGAUUGGGCGUAAAGCGUGUGUAGGCGGCUUUUUAAGUCCGCCGUGAAAUCCCAGGGCUCAACCCUGGACAGGCGGUUGAAACUACCAAGCUGGAGUACGGUAGGGGCGGAGGGAAUUUCCGGUGGAGCGGUGAAAUGCGUAGAGAUCGGGAAGAACACCAACGGCGAAGGCAAUCCGCUGGGCCGACACUGACGCUGAGAGACGAAAGCUAGGGGAGCGA
rnacentral:rRNA from 1 species